CCUACGGGAGGCAGCAGUGAGGAAUAUUGGUCAAUGGACGAGAGUCUGAACCAGCCAAGUAGCGUGAAGGAUGACUGCCCUAUGGGUUGUAAACUUCUUUUAUAUGGGAAUAAAACGUUCCACGUGUGGGAUUUUGUAUGUACCAUAUGAAUAAGGAUCGGCUAACUCCGUGCCAGCAGCCGCGGUAAUACGGAGGAUCCGAGCGUUAUCCCGAUUUAUUGGGUUUAAAGGGUGCGUAGGUGGAUUGUUAAGUCAGUUGUGAAAGUUUGCGGCUCAACCGUAAAAUUGCAGUUGAAACUGGCAGUCUUGAGUACAGUAGAGGUGGGCGGAAUUCGGGGUGUAGCGGUGAAAUGCUUAGAUAUCACGAAGAACUCCGAUUGCGAAGGCAGUUCACUGGACUGCAACUGACACUGAGGCUCGAAAGUGUGGGUAUCAAACAGGAUUAGAUACCCCGUGUAGUC
rnacentral:rRNA from 1 species